rnacentral:misc_RNA from 1 species
GUGAAUCAUCGAAUUUUUGAACGCAAAUUGCGCUUCCUAGCAUCCCGGGAAGUAUGCCUGUUUGAGGGUCAGUAUUAACAAAAAAAUCGGUUGGGUUGCAAAUUGUGACGUUUCCGGAGUUUGGGCUAGCUUAACUUUUUUGGUUAAGUUGCUUAAAAUUGACCUUUUUUGCGCAUUGUUAGACGUACAUAAAUUUUUUUUUGUCCGCUGAUCCUUAGUCCGAAAGUCUAUUUGAUUGCGU